rnacentral:rRNA from 1 species
AGAGUUUGAUCAUGGCUCAGAUUGAACGCUGGCGGCAGGCCUAACACAUGCAAGUCGAACGGUAACAGGAAGAAGCUUGCUUCUUUGCUGACGAGUGGCGGACGGGUGAGUAAUGUCUGGGAAACUGCCUGAUGGAGGGGGAUAACUACUGGAAACGGUAGCUAAUACCGCAUAACGUCGCAAGACCAAAGAGGGGGACCUUCGGGCCUCUUGCCAUCGGAUGUGCCCAGAUGGGAUUAGCUAGUAGGUGGGGUAACGGCUCACCUAGGCGACGAUCCCUGGCUGGUCUGAGAGGAUGACCAGCCACACUGGAACUGAGACACGGUCCAGACUCCUACGGGAGGCAGCAGUGGGGAAUAUUGCACAAUGGGCGCAAGCCUGAUGCAGCCAUGCCGCGUGUAUGAAGAAGGCCUUCGGGUUGUAAAGUACUUUCAGCGGGGAGGAAGGGAGUAAAGUUAAUACCUUUGCUCAUUGACGUUACCCGCAGAAGAAGCACCGGCUAACUCCGUGCCAGCAGCCGCGGUAAUACGGAGGGUGCAAGCGUUAAUCGGAAUUACUGGGCGUAAAGCGCACGCAGGCGGUUUGUUAAGUCAGAUGUGAAAUCCCCGGGCUCAACCUGGGAACUGCAUCUGAUACUGGCAAGCUUGAGUCUCGUAGAGGGGGGUAGAAUUCCAGGUGUAGCGGUGAAAUGCGUAGAGAUCUGGAGGAAUACCGGUGGCGAAGGCGGCCCCCUGGACGAAGACUGACGCUCAGCUGCGAAAGCGUGGGGAGCAAACAGGAUUAGAUACCUUGGUAGUCCACGCCGUAAACGAUGUCGACUUGGAGGUUGUGCCCUUGAGGCGUGGCUUCCGGAGCUAACGCGUUAAGUCGACCGCCCGGGGAGUACGGCCGCAAGGUUAAAACUCAAAUGAAUUGACGGGGGCCCGCACAAGCGGUGGAGCAUGUGGUUUAAUUCGAUGCAACGCGAAGAACCUUACCUGGUCUUGACAUCCACAGAACUUUCCAGAGAUGGAUUGGUGCCUUCGGGAACUGUGAGACAGGUGCUGCAUGGCUGUCGUCAGCUCGUGUUGUGAAAUGUUGGGUUAAGUCCCGCAACGAGCGCAACCCUUAUCUUUUGUUGCCAGCGGUCCGGCCGGGAACUCAAAGGAGACUGCCAGUGAUAAACUGGAGGAAGGUGGGGAUGACGUCAAGUCAUCAUGGCCCUUACGACCAGGGCUACACACGUGCUACAAUGGCGCAUACAAAGAGAAGCGACCUCGCGAGAACAAGCGGACCUCAUAAAGUGCGUCGUAGUCCGGAUUGGAGUCUGCAACUCGACUCCAUGAAGUCGGAAUCGCUAGUAAUCGUGGAUCAGAAUGCCACGGUGAAUACGUUCCUGGGCCUUGUACACACCGCCCGUCACACCAUGGGAGUGGGUUGCAAAAGAAGUAGGUAGCUUAACCUUCGGGAGGGCGCUUACCACUUUGUGAUUCAUGACUGGGGUGAAGUCGUAACAAGGUAACCGUAGGGGAACCUGCGGUUG